AGAGUUUGAUCCUGGCUCAGGAUGAACGCUAGCGACAGGCUUAACACAUGCAAGUCGAGGGGCAGCACAGGUAGCAAUACCGGGUGGCGACCGGCGCACGGGUGAGUAACGCGUAUGCAACUUGCCUAUCAGAGGGGGAUAACCCGGCGAAAGUCGGACUAAUACCGCAUGAAGCAGGGGCCCCGCAUGGGGAUAUUUGCUAAAGAUUCAUCGCUGAUAGAUAGGCAUGCGUUCCAUUAGGCAGUUGGCGGGGUAACGGCCCACCAAACCGACGAUGGAUAGGGGUUCUGAGAGGAAGGUCCCCCACAUUGGUACUGAGACACGGACCAAACUCCUACGGGAGGCAGCAGUGAGGAAUAUUGGUCAAUGGCCGAGAGGCUGAACCAGCCAAGUCGCGUGAGGGAUGAAGGUUCUAUGGAUCGUAAACCUCUUUUAUAAGGGAAUAAAGUGCGGGACGUGUCCCGUUUUGUAUGUACCUUAUGAAUAAGGAUCGGCUAACUCCGUGCCAGCAGCCGCGGUAAUACGGAGGAUCCGAGCGUUAUCCGGAUUUAUUGGGUUUAAAGGGUGCGUAGGCGGCCUUUUAAGUCAGCGGUGAAAGUCUGUGGCUCAACCAUAGAAUUGCCGUUGAAACUGGGGGGCUUGAGUAUGUUUGAGGCAGGCGGAAUGCGUGGUGUAGCGGUGAAAUGCAUAGAUAUCACGCAGAACCCCGAUUGCGAAGGCAGCCUGCCAAGCCAUUACUGACGCUGAUGCACGAAAGCGUGGGGAUCAAACAGGAUUAGAUACCCUGGUAGUCCACGCAGUAAACGAUGAUCACUAGCUGUUUGCGAUACACUGUAAGCGGCACAGCGAAAGCGUUAAGUGAUCCACCUGGGGAGUACGCCGGCAACGGUGAAACUCAAAGGAAUUGACGGGGGCCCGCACAAGCGGAGGAACAUGUG
rnacentral:rRNA from 1 species